ACAAGGAUGGAGACUUAGCAGAUUUCAGUCAUUUAGCAAGAUGUCUGCCCCCACACCCUUCUAUGUUUCUCCCAAGCUGGUAGAGAACUCAUAACCUUCCUCCUCAGCCCCCUCAGUGCUGGUGUUAACAAGUGUCUGCCUCUGGGCCACCAAGUCCUUUGCCACCUCUGAGACAUCAGUGACUCAGGCCCCAGCCAGAGGGAAAGCCAGGCACAGGACUCUCAGAAGUGGUGUUCAGGGAGCAGAAGGAAGAGACGGAAGCUGGGACCGCUGCGUUGUGAAACCAAAGAACAAGAGGAGAGACAGGAAGACACCGCUUGCGAGGCUGUAGGAAGAACGGAACAAGAGAGUUUCAUCUAUUCACCCGCUUUCCUUACUAACUGGGAACAGAGCACAUUUUCUCUCCCACCACUUCCUGUUUUCAUGAAGAGGACAGAUAGACAGGGCAAAAUCGUGACUGUUCCAACCUAUGUUAUGAAUCUAUCCUGAUCACAUCGCCUCUCCUCAGCAAUGUUUCGCUCUCUUUGGCAUCGGUUCUCAUACGCCCCACGUGUGUGUGUUUACGCCACUGACAACCCAUACGUUCCCCUGGCUGUUUCGACAGUUCGGUAUUCUACCAUUUGGAAAGAGGUGCCCUUGAUCUCGAACCUUCCAGGAUGCCUCCUGCCAGACUCAUGGAUGCUCAGGCCUACUGGCACGCUGUCAAGCUGGGUUAUCUCUUUACCUCAUCCCGGGGAUUUCCUUCACUCUGCUGAGUAUCCUGAUUCUUUCUCACCUCUUCCUCUUUCUUGAUUUACUCCAUUGUUUUGGUGACACGUGUCCUUCGGUAAGUUCCUUGGAGAGAAAGAAGAGGAGAUAGACCCUACCAGGAGGCAUUGCGCGGCACGCUCUGCCCUCGUUCACUUGGCAGUUGCCAUACCAGUGUCUUCUAAACUCCUGGCCCUUGUCUUUUAGCCUGGUCCUUUUCUCCUAGCCACUGAAAGUUCAUUGAGGAAGCGUUGCAAAAUGAACGUCCUCUUCCACAGAGCAGCCCUUAUCUAAUGACCAAACAGAGAUAAAAUAAAUACCCUCCUCAGCC